GCAGGUAUAGCUCAGUUGGUAGAGCGUCGGUCUCCAAAACCGAAAGUCGUGGGUUCGAAUCCUUCUGCCUGUGCCA
rnacentral:tRNA from 1 species